rnacentral:rRNA from 1 species
AUUGAACGCUGGCGGCAGGCUUAACACAUGCAAGUCGAGCGGGGUGAUGGUGCUUGCACUAUCACUUAGCGGCGGACGGGUGAGUAAUGCUUAGGAAUCUGCCUAUUAGUGGGGGACAACAUCUCGAAAGGGAUGCUAAUACCGCCUACGUCCUACGAGAGAAAGCAGGGGAUCACUUGUGACCUUGCGCUAAUAGAUGAGCCUAAGUCGGAUUAGCUAGUUGGUGGGGUAAAGGCCUACCAAGGCGACGAUCUGUAGCGGGUCUGAGAGGAUGAUCCGCCACACUGGGACUGAGACACGGCCCAGACUCCUACGGGAGGCAGCAGUGGGGAAUAUUGGACAAUGGGGGGAACCCUGAUCCAGCCAUGCCGCGUGUGUGAAGAAGGCCUUAUGGUUGUAAAGCACUUUAAGCGAGGAGGAGGUUCUUUUGGUUAAUACCCAAGAUGAGUGGACGUUACUCGCAGAAUAAGCACCGGCUAACUCUGUGCCAGCAGCCGCAGUAA